rnacentral:rRNA from 1 species
AACGAACGCUGGCGGCGUGGAUAAGACAUGCAAGUCGAACGGGACAGACCGAGUAGCAAUAUUUGGAAUGUUCAGUGGCGAACGGGUGCGUAACACGUGGAUAACAUUCCGGAAAGCGGGGAAUAGCCCAGGGAAACUUGGAUUAAUACCGCAUGUGGCCGCAAGGCUAAAGACGGGGACCGCAAGGCCUGUCACUUUCCGAUUGGUCCGCGGCCUAUCAGCUAGUUGGCGGGGUAAUGGCCCACCAAGGCUACGACGGGUAGCUGGUCUUAGAGGACGAACAGCCACACUGGAACUGAGACACGGUCCAGACACCUACGGGUGGCAGCAGUCGAGAAUCUUUCACAAUGGGGGCAACCCUGAUGGAGCGACGCCGCGUGGAGGAUAAGGUCUUCGGAUUGUAAACUCCUGUCAUGCGAGAACAAGGUACUCAGGCUAAUAACCUGAUUGUUUGAUGGUACCGCAAGAGGAAGAGACGGCUAACUCUGUGCCAGCCGCCGCGGUAAGAC